rnacentral:lncRNA from 1 species
AAACUCUCAACCUCUUGUUGUCGAUAAAAGCCUAUCGGAGAAAUACAGUCUACCGGAGUAAACAACACCGACACGACACGACACAAUCACACUCUUUCGUUUAAUCCACAACUCCUGUCCAAACCAAAGCACUUUCGCGACUUACCGGAGAGACACGGAGAUCGACGGAAGCCGUUUCGCUUUGUUCGGAGUUCGUCGGAGACAUUCGGAGAAGACGAUCGGAACCUUGCGGCCUUUUCUCUCGUUUCGGCAAAGUGGAUCAUGUUAUUCGUGUUAAUAGUCAAGAUGAUGAAGGAAUCAAGUUAGGAU